AGUAACUCUAGAGCUAAUACAUGCAUCAAUCCCUGACUUCCUGGAAGGGGUGUACUUAUUAUAUGGAAACCAGUGCGGGUUCGCCCGGAUUAUGGUGAUUCAUAAUAAUUUUCGGAUCGAUCAAUUGAUCGAUGCAUCAUUCAAGUUUCUGCCCUAUCAGCUUUGGAUGGUAGGGUAUUGGCCUACCAUGGCAUUAACGGGUAACGGAGAAUUAGGGUUCGAUUCCGGAGAGGGCGCCUGAGAAACAGCGACCAGUUCCAAGGAAGGCAGCAGGCGCGUAAAUUACCCAAUCCUGACACAGGGAGGUAGUGACAAUAAAUAACAAUGUCGGGCCUUCGGGUUUGACAAUUGGAAUGAGAACAAUUUAAAUCACUUAUCGAGGAUCAAUUGGAGGGCAAGUCUGGUGCCAGCAGCCGCGGUAAUUCCAGCUCCAAUAGCGUAUACUAAAGUUGUUGCAGUUAAAAAGCUCGUAGUUGAAUUUCUGGUUUCGGAGUGCGGUCUGCCCCGUGGGGUAAGUAUCAGCGCUCGGGAGCCGUCCUCGAGGGGAACAUGCCUGUGAUUGACUUCAUGGGUAUGGGAGCCUCGUCUUUUACUGUGAGCAAACUGGAGUGAUCAAAGCAUGCUUACGCCGUUGAAUACAUUAACAUGAAAUAAUAAUAAUCGAUUCUGACCUAUCUUGUUAGGUUAGUACUCCAGGGUAACGAGUAAUAAGGCAACAAUUGGG
rnacentral:rRNA from 1 species